rnacentral:rRNA from 1 species
CCUACGGGCGGCAGCAGUGAGGAAUAUUGGUCAAUGGACGAGAGUCUGAACCAGCCAAGUAGCGUGAAGGAUGACUGCCCUAUGGGUUGUAAACUUCUUUUAUAUGGGAAUAAAAUGUUCCACGUGUGGCUUUUUGUAUGUACCAUAUGAAUAAGGAUCGGCUAACUCCGUGCCAGCAGCCGCGGUAAUACGGAGGAUCCGAGCGUUAUCCGGAUUUAUUGGGGUUAAAGGGAGCGUAGGUGGAGUGUUAAGUCAGUUGUGAAAGUUUGCGGCUCAACCGUAAGAUUGCAGUUGAAACUGGCAGUCUUGAGUACAGGAGAGGUGGGCGGAAUGCGUGGUGUAGCGGUGAAAUGCUUAGAUAUCACGAAGAACUCCGAUUGCGAAGGCAGUUCACUGGACUGCAACUGACACUGAGGCUCGAAAGUGUGGGUAUCGAACAGGAUUAGAUACCCUAGUAGUC